rnacentral:rRNA from 1 species
GACAGAGGGUGCAAACGUUGCUCGGAAUCACUGGGCGUAAAGGGCGUGUAGGCGGGAAGGAAAGUCAGAUGUGAAGUCCCCAGGCUCAACCUGGGAACUGCAUUUGAAACUCCCUUUCUUGAGUACCGGAGAGGAAAGUGGAAUUCCUGGUGUAGAGGUGAAAUUCGUAGAUAUCAGGAGGAACACCAGUGGCGAAGGCGGCUUUCUGGACGGUAACUGACGCUGAGACGCGAAAGCGUGGGGAGCAAACAGG